CGAAGAAGGAACUUCGUCUUCUAAGAGGGGUGAAGAGAAGACUUUGUCUGGGAGAUGCUUUUGUGGACAGGGUGUGGUGUUGCUACAAUCUGGAACCUUAACAAAUCCUGGGAGAUGGUUCGUAAGGUGUCCUCUAUGAAAGACGAUGGAUUGCAAGUAUUUUGUAUGGGUGGAUGAGAUUGACGGAGGAUGGGAGGGACUGGCAAGAGCCCUUGUUAGAAAAAAUCAAGAUAGCUCAUGUGGUAACCAUGAGGUCAAUCUCACUGGGCAAAGAAGAGAGAUUCAAGAGAAUAGCGUGAAGAUCUUGUUAAAGAUAGGGAAGCUCCAGGGUGAAAUAAAAACUAUUAGGUCAUGGAUUAUAACUAUUUUUUUGAGUUUACUGAUUUGUGUAGGGCUGAAUCUACUCCAAUUAAUCAAUAUGUAACUGUGCUUAUGGU